CCUACGGGGGGCUGCAGUGAGGAAUAUUGGUCAAUGGGCGCGAGCCUGAACCAGCCAAGUAGCGUGAAGGAUGACUGCCCUACGGGUUGUAAACUUCUUUUAUAAAGGAAUAAAGUCAGGCACGUGUGCCUUUUUGUUUGUACUUUAUGAAUCAGGAUCGGCUAACUCCGUUCCAGCAGCCGCGGUAAUACGGAGGAUCCGAGCGUUAUCCUGCUUUAUUGGGUUUAAAGGGAGCGUAGAGGGGUUGUUAAGUCAGUGGUAAAAGCCCGGGGCUCAACCCCGGCGAGCAGUUGAAACUGGCUGUCUUGAGAUGUCGAGAGGUAUGCGGAAUGCGCAGUGUAGCGGUGAAAUGCUUAGAUAUUGCGCAGAACGCCGAUUGCGAAGGCAGCAUACUGGCGGCGAUCUGACGCUGAGGCACGAAAGCGUGGGUAUCGAACAGGAUUAGAUACCCGGGUAGUC
rnacentral:rRNA from 1 species